rnacentral:rRNA from 1 species
GAUCUGGCUCAGGAUGAACGCUAGCGACAGGCUUAACACAUGCAAGUCGAGGGGCAGCGGGGGAUAAGCUUGCUUUUCCUGCCGGCGACCGGCGCACGGGUGAGUAACACGUAUGCAACCUGCCCCUGUCAGAGGGAUAAUCCGGAGAAAUCCGGUCUAAUAUCGCAUAAAGCGUUUGCGGGGCAUCCUGCGAGCGCCAAAGGAGUAAUCCGGACAGGGAUGGGCAUGCGGCGCA